AAUUAACAGGUUAUACUUAAAGUUAAGAUUUUCAUUUACACUGGAAUAAUUUAUCGUGCAAUUCGAUAUA
rnacentral:tRNA from 1 species